rnacentral:siRNA from 1 species
CUCUGUGCCUCGCUCCUCCGGCA